GGUUAAUAUUCCUGUACUUGGUGUUACUGCGAAGGGGGGACGGAGAAGGCUAUGUUGGCCGGGCGACGGUUGUCCCGGUUUAAGCGUGUAGGCUGGUUUUCCAGGCAAAUCCGGAAAAUCAAGGCUGAGGCGUGAUGACGAGGCACUACGGUGCUGAAGCAACAAAUGCCCUGCUUCCAGGAAAAGCCUCUAAGCAUCAGGUAACAUCAAAUCGUACCCCAAACCGACACAGGUGGUCAGGUAGAGAAUACCAAGGCGCUUGAGAGAACUCGGGUGAAGGAACUAGGCAAAAUGGUGCCGUAACUUCGGGAGAA
rnacentral:rRNA from 1 species